rnacentral:rRNA from 1 species
UACGUAGGGUGCGAGCGUUAAUCGGAAUUACUGGGCGUAAAGGGUGCGCAGGCGGUUAUAUAAGACAGAUGUGAAAUCCCCGGGCUCAACCUGGGAACUGCGUUUGUGACUGUAUGACUAGAGUACGGUAGAGAGGGGUGGAAUUCCUGGUGUAGCAGUGAAAUACGUAGAUAUCAGGAGGAAUACCGGUGGCGAAGGCGGCUGCCUGGCCCAAUACUGACGUUGAGAUGCGAAAGCGUGGGGAGCAAACAGG